GACGAACCGUGCGAACGUUGUUCGGAAUCACUGGGCUUAAAGGGCUCGUAGGCGGCCAACUAAGUCAGACGUGAAAUCCCUCAGCUUAACUGGGGAACUGCGUCUGAUACUGGAUGGCUUGGAUUCGGGAGAGGAAUGCGGAAUUCCAGGUGUAGCGGUGAAAUGCGUAGAUAUCUGGAGGAACACCGGUGGCGAAGGCGGCAUUCUGGACCGAUAUUGACGCUGAGGAGCGAAAGCCAGGGGAGCAAACGGG
rnacentral:rRNA from 1 species